rnacentral:ncRNA from 2 species
UACGGAGGGGACUAGCGUUGUUCGGAAUUACUGGGCGUAAAGCGCGCGUAGGCGGACUAUUAAGUCAGGGGUGAAAUCCCGGGGCUCAACCCCGGAACUGCCCUUGAUACUGGUAGUCUGGAGUUCUGGAGAGGUGAGUGGAAUUCCGAGUGUAGAGGUGAAAUUCGUAGAUAUUCGGAGGAACACCAGUGGCGAAGGCGGCUCACUGGCCAGAUACUGACGCUGAGGUGCGAAAGUGUGGGGAGCAAACAGG